rnacentral:rRNA from 1 species
UACGGAGGGGGCUAGCGUUGUUCGGAAUUACUGGGCGUAAAGCGCACGUAGGCGGAUAUUUAAGUCAGGGGUGAAAUCCCGGGGCUCAACCCCGGAACUGCCUUUGAUACUGGGUAUCUGGAGGUCGAGAGAGGCGAGUGGAAUUCCGAGUGUAGAGGUGAAAUUCGUAGAUAUUCGGAGGAACACCAGUGGCGAAGGCGGCUCGCUGGCUCGAUACUGACGCUGAGGUGCGAGAGCGUGGGGAGCAAACCGG